AACUUUGGUGGCGGUUCGAUCCCUCCUUUUGCCCUAGCUUUGGUGGUGACGCAGAAGCUGCGAUCCGAGGACGGAGGACGUCGGUUAGGGCGAUUUCAGUCCAGGUGUAUAGUAGAUGUGUUUGAGAGACACUCAACGUCUUUGUUGACCUCUGUUUGGUGAGUAGAGGUGAUAUCUAUCGUCAAAGGAAUCUCACACAAUCUCUUUUAAUAAAUAUGAACAUCUUUAGACGGGGGGGACGUAAACGAAGUUCACAUGGCCAUGCAGCACCUAGCAGUGCACCUACGCCUAUCCCUGAUCAGCCUGUACGACUAUCAAAUUCACCUUCGCCAGUACAGCCAGGACCAUCACAUCUCUCUACGCCAGUUCAGGCAGGACCAUCACAUUCCCCUUCGCGAGUACAUGCAGGACCUUCACAUUUGCCGUCGCCAAUACAUGCAGGACCAUCACAUUCUCCUUCGCCAGUACCUUCACCGCAAAAUUUGGCAGAUCCGGUUCCUACCAGAUACUCAUUUUCUGAGACCCAAGAUGUUCGAAUAUUUAUUGUCCCCUCCGGAGAUUCGUUCGAAAAUUCGGUACGUGUUGUUCACGAAAUUAAUCAAAUCAUGAAUAAUCAUUGGAUGGGGGAUUCUAUGUCUUAUUCAAGCACUCCAUCAUCAAUGAAAGAGUUAUGGUGGAGCGAGUUUAAGCGGAUAUAUAAUUGGGACCCUGCAUAUGAAUUCGAAAUUAAGAAUAACUUCAAGAAAAAAUGUGGCGAUCACAUUCGUCAUACUCUUAGUCAUGCUAAACAAAGGGGUAAAAAACCACUUUGUAUCACAGAGGAUAAUUGGACUAAGAUCAACAAUUUUUAGUCAACCAACGAAAGCAAACAACGAAGUCAACAGAAUAAAUUAAAUCAAUCUUAUAAUUCUGGAGACUUCUCUGCUACAUAUGCGGGAGGUUCAAUUAAUAUCGAUGAGCAUCGACCUAGAAUGACCAAAGAUAUGGGGAAAGAACCUUCAUUCAUUGAAACUUUCACCAAAACUUUUACAAAAAAGGAUAAGUCUUGGAGUGGGGCUAGAGCAAAAGCAAUAAAGGACAAAUACGAUGAGCUCGAGAUAGCACAUAGAAGUUCAUGUGCUAGUGAGGAAACUGAGUCAUCUGUUGGUAAAAAUUUGGAUUUGUGGUUGGAGGCUAGUGGAGGACAGAAAGGGGGAAGGAUAUUGGGAAUGAGUUCUUUAAGCAAAAAUCAUAGAGUUUCCCGUAAAUCAUUUUCCACCCCAACAGCAGUCACGACUCAGAUCAAUUCCUUGACUGAAGAGGUUUCACAUUUAAAGGGCAUAAUAUUAGAAAGAGAUGAAGAAAGAAGAGCUAGAGAUGCAGAAAUGAGAGCUCUCCGUCAACAACAAAAUUUAAUUAUGAAACAUCUUCAGUUAAGUUCCGCUCCUUCCGAUUUUGGUGACGAUGGCGACGAUGGUGGCGAUGGAUCUUCUUGAUUGGUCAGACACAAUGAAAAUCAAUGAAGAAGAUGAAGAAGAUAGAGAAGAUUUAGUCAUAUUUCGGAUUUUGUUGAAAUAUGGAUGGUUUAGAACUUAUGAUGUUUGGAUUGUAUGGAUAUUAGAUCUUUUGUGAUGUUUAUAUUUUGAUGUAUUAUAUGUUUGGCUUGCAAGGAUAUUAGAUCAUGUUUGUAUUUUGAUGUAUCAUAUGUUUGGAUUGUAAGUAUAUUAGAUGAUGUUUGCAUUUUAAUUUAUGGAAUGCUUGGAUUUUUUGUGA